AGCAGCUGGGGAGGAGCCAAAGCCUCGGCGCUCACCUAAGCCGCAGGGAGAUACACCCAACUGGGAGUAAGAACUGCAAACAAUUGUGAUGCUUGAACCACAAUAUAUUUCCCCACCCUCUCCAGUUGAGUGUGAUGAUGUUCCAGUAAGGAUGGGUGCAGCCACUAACGCAGGGCCCCCUCUCAACCUAGAUCCUCGUCUACAGUAUACCCUGAGAGAAGCAGGCCACCAGCAUUACUCAUCAUCCCCAGCUUUGUGUUUCAGAGCUCUAUUCUAGAUAAGAGCAACUGAGAGUUCUGAGGCUCUCUUCCUCCAACCAUCCUCCACUCUUAAGACAGAAAAUGAAGAACUCAACAACAAGAACACAACUCAUUUAAAAGUGGACAAAAAAAUUUGAAUAGACAUUUCUCCAAAGAGCAGGUAGAAACAGCCAAUUUACACAUGAGAAGGUGUUUACUAGCCAUUAGUGGUUGGGGAAAUGAAAAUCAAAUCAAAACCACAGUACAAUCCCACUUCACACCAACCGGA
rnacentral:lncRNA from 10 species